rnacentral:tRNA from 1 species
GAUUUGGUGGCCGAGUGGUUAAGGCGUUACGUUUAGGAUUCGAAAGAGCGCGAGUUCGAAUCUCGUCCAAAUCA